rnacentral:tRNA from 1 species
GGCUUCAUAGCUCAGUUGGUUAGAGCGUGGCACCAGUAUCGCGAAGUCACGGGUUCAAACCCCGUUGAAGUCC